rnacentral:rRNA from 1 species
UGGGGGAUAUUGCACAAUGGAGGAAACUCUGAUGCAGCGACGCCGCGUGAGGGAAGACGGUCUUCGGAUUGUAAACCUCUGUCUUUGGGGACGAUAAUGACGGUACCCAAGGAGGAAGCUCCGGCUAACUACGUGCCAGCAGCCGCGGUAAUACGUAGGGAGCGAGCGUUGUCCGGAAUUACUGGGUGUAAAGGGAGCGUAGGCGGGGUCUCAAGUCGAAUGUUAAAUCUACCGGCUCAACUGGUAGCUGCGUUCGAAACUGGGGCUCUUGAGUGAAGUAGAGGCAGGCGGAAUUCCUAGUGUAGCGGUGAAAUGCGUAGAUAUUAGGAGGAACACCAGUGGCGAAGGCGGCCUGCUGGGCUUUUACUGACGCUGAGGCUCGAAAGCGUGGGGAGCAAAC